UGAGCUUAAGGCUUUUUUUGGGCUCAAAAUCUAUGAGAAGUACAGUUUAAGUCUGAAAAAUGUCAUUGUGAGGUCAGCCACUUAUUGUGCUUCCAUGAUGUCAUGGAAAUUUGUUCAGUCUGCAAAUUAAAAUAUAUUCUUCCUGGCUGUCAAUACCGCAAAAUCAUCUUAGAUUCUGAAAGUCAAAUUUGGGUCUUUAGUUGGAGUACUCCUGCCAUGCUACUGGUGAACUGAAACUAAAAAUGGGCACUUCAGAACAGGAAAAGAAAAUAAAGAUUCUCCUGAUGUUAUGUUGUAGACUUCUGAGGGAAAAGAGAUCCAAACAAAAGAGAAAGCCAAGAGCAGAUGCGGGUGGACAAGAACUCAGGAUGGGUUUUAGCGGUGGAACAUGGGAGGCU